rnacentral:rRNA from 1 species
CUCGUAGAGUUUUAAUCUGGCUCAGAUUGAACGCUGGCGGCAGGCCUAACACAUGCAAGUCGAACGGUAACAUUUCUAGCUUGCUAGAAGAUGACGAGUGGCGGACGGGUGAGUAAUGCUUGGGAACUUGCCUUUGCGAGGGGGAUAACAGUUGGAAACGACUGCUAAUACCGCAUAAUGUCUUCGGACCAAACGGGGCUUUUAGCUCCGGCGCAAAGAGAGGCCCAAGUGAGAUUAGCUAGUUGGUAAGGUAACGGCUUACCAAGGCGACGAUCUCUAGCUGUUCUGAGAGGAAGAUCAGCCACACUGGGACUGAGACACGGCCCAGACUCCUACGGGAGGCAGCAGUGGGGAAUAUUGCACAAUGGGGGAAACCCUGAUGCAGCCAUGCCGCGUGUGUGAAGAAGGCCUUCGGGUUGUAAAGCACUUUCAGUUGUGAGGAAAAGUUAGUAGUUAAUACCUGCUAGCCGUGACGUUAACAACAGAAGAAGCACCGGCUAACUCCGUGCCAGCAGCCGCGGUAAUACGGAGGGUGCGAGCGUUAAUCGGAAUUACUGGGCGUAAAGCGCACGCAGGCGGUUUGUUAAGCUAGAUGUGAAAGCCCCGGGCUCAACCUGGGAUGGUCAUUUAGAACUGGCAGACUAGAGUCUUGGAGAGGGGAGUGGAAUUCCAGGUGUAGCGGUGAAAUGCGUAGAUAUCUGGAGGAACAUCAGUGGCGAAGGCGACUCCCUGGCCAAAGACUGACGCUCAGGCGAAAGCUUUUCCCUC